GAUCUCGUGGUCUAGGGGCUAUGACGCCUGCCUCACACGCAGGAGAUCGCCGGUUCAAUUCCGGCCGGGAUCA
rnacentral:tRNA from 1 species